rnacentral:lncRNA from 1 species
AUGCCACUGCACUCCAGCCUGGGCAACAGAGCAAGACUCCAUCUCAAAAAAAAAAAAAAAUUUUUUUAGCAGAACAUAAGUUGAUGACUGUGAGAUGAAUAGUGUUGGGUGGAGAGAAGCCAGAAUGGUGUUGGGGUCCUUAGAGAAAGCCUGGUAUUGUCUAUUUGAAUAAUUGCUUGUGAGCUUUGGACUAGUUGGUAUCCCAUUGAGCCUCUUUACUGAGAGGAUGGGAGUAUCACAGGAACCAGACAUGGAGACUAGAAGAGCUUUGUGAAGGACACCUUGAAUUAUAAGUUGAAGAUCUUGGAGAAUUCUUGUCUUGAGGAUAUUAUACUUGAGAGUAGCAUGGAAGGUUCUAUUUCUACGUUGAGAGGUUUGGCCUUCUUGAUUUGGCCUGCGUCAGUUGAGUGACCAGCUCAAAGGCAGUCGGGUAUUUUAGUUAGCAUAGUUUGUGCUUGAGGUUUUAAAGGGGGAUCAGGGAUUUUGACAGAAACAAGAAAAGUGUGAUGGUCAAUAAGAGCCAUGAAAGGGCAAAGAUGCAAGGCUGGGAACCCAAGGACCUCAAGUGUGAGGCCCUCGGGGAGCAAAACUACUGACAGUCCAGUUGGAAAGUAACUCUUUCCAGAAGGUUUACUGGGUAGUGGAACUAAGAAGCUGUGCUGGGUGGGGAGGGUCCUAGUAAGACAGAAGGUUCUGUUAAAGGCAGCACAUGGAUGCUUAUCAAGUCCCACCAACAGGCAUGGCUUGUGUGCUCUUAGGGAGUGUGGCAAGAGGUGUUCAUGGUGAGAUGUGUUGCUCGGGGUCCAUUAGGAAGGGAGGGGAGUGUCCAUUGAUGGGGAAGAUUCUCUCCUGAGUUAGUGUGGACACAAAGGGGAACAUACCCCUCCAAGAAAGUCGUUAAAAGAUGGAUUUUUAAACCCUUGCUCUCUUUUGUUUUAAAGCCAGCCAAUCCCAAGCCAGCAUUCUUUUUAUUUGUAUCUGCAUGUGUGCCUAGCAAGUGGGGGUUUGGAGUAAGCAGAUUGGCCUGGUUUGCUUCCUUCUGGUGGAGAAGACAGGGCUCCAAAUGGACUUCCAGUCCCAUCCACGUCACAGAGGCAAAUUGUCAGAGACAAAGACCUAAGCCGGUCCUUUUCCAGGAGUAAAUGACCAUCGUGCGCCCAUGGGAAGAGUGCUGCAUCCACGGAGGACAUGGGCCAACAGUGCUCUCAAAUGGGUUUCAUGAAAGCAUCUGUGACUCAUCCCUGUUCAAGAAUGUUUUCAUUACGAUUCAGCAGAAGCGAUGUGCCAGCUUUUGAUAAUGUGGCUACUUAAAACAACUGAAAUAACACAUGUGGUCCCAUUGUGGCCACAUUAGAUUUCUACUGGCCAGCGUGGGACUAGACUCAGGCUAAGGUCCUCCCAACUCAGGGUGUUUCAAAAAGCAAAAGUACCGUGGCUCCAGCGUCAGCAGAAAAACAAGUUAGAAAGACAGGCAGGGGAGGGGGCGAUCCCUCCAACUCCAAAGCUGUGCCAGGGAGACACCGCUCUUGGGGAAGUUGGGCUGCAGCCCCCGCACGUGCUAGGAAGAUAAGUGAAGGUCCCAACACAUCCUGUCCCCUUAGAGCCCCUGGGGCCCAGCAGCCGGGCCCAGCAGCCCGACCCAGCGCCUAGAGCCCAUUCGCAGACAGCGCGCUGAGGCGGCUUGGGCGCCAUGCCCUUUGGGUUACUCAGCUCUUCAGCCUCCUGGAACGCUAGGACAAAGGAGUGCCUUGGUGCUGGCAGAAGCCGGGGGGCACAGCUGGGUUUUACAAGGAAGGACGAAAUCUCAUCUCAGCAAUCGGGAUAGAUCAACCGUUGCCCGUCUGAGGUGACCCAAUUCAGGGACCAGCCGCUUGGCUCUGAACACACACGUGUCACAACCCCAGCUCGUACCCAGGCCUUGCUAGAGCUCCAGGUUUAUGAGCCGUAACUCAGCAGAAGCCUAGCAUGAGAACAACUCAUCUGAAGCUCCAACAUUUGGGGAAUGCAACCUUUCGACAGACAUUUGCUGAAUGGAUAGGAGACUCCUGAAAGCAGAAUUCUGCACAUUCUGUGGACCAGCCCUGACUACGGAGAGCAGGUGUUAGCCAGUAUCCAUGCGCAGUGCCUCUUAGUCUUACCUGUCUGCUGCCUUACGCAAGCAUGGAGCUUAAUAUGCUAGCUGUGUUCUCCUAACCUCAGAUAUCUGUAAAACCAGCCACAGUAAGAUAACAUGGUAGAGCACAAAAUGCUUAGAAGAGAUUUAUUUGAAGCAAUGCUUCCCAGAAGUUUUUCAAUGCAGCUUAUGGCGAGAAACACAUUUUACAUCUCUACUCAGUACGCAGCCACUCAUACUCAACUGAAACAUCUUCUGAAACAAUAUUUCACUUCACUCUCUGCAAUACAGAAAAUACCAGAUCGUAUUGUAUGUUAUUUCAUUGUUUUAAAAUCCUGAGCCUAGCUUGCUAAUAGAUUACAACUCAGUUUGAAAAGCACAGGCUAAGGGGCUUCAAAUAGGGGUGACACAUUGAACACACACAUUUAUCACCUCUCCCUUCACAGAUCUCAUUAAAAUGAUAAUAAAGGAACAAAAUGGCAGAAAUCCACAAGGACAAACAGCAAACAAGAGGGACAUCAGCAGAUAGGCAACCUCAACAAGUAUAUCACAAUGAGUGACACACCCCCUAUAACAGCCAAUUUUGAUGGUCCUCCCAUAGCUCUUGCCUUAUUCUUUGUAAUAGGAUUCAGAUUGUUUAAAAUCCCCAUAUUCUACCGCAAAGUCAUGUUAUCAGGAAAGACCAACCCUAACCCCAGUUCCAUGGAGUAAAGAUUAAUUAAUCUAAACUCUAUUAAUUGUAUUCCCUUUAUCUGGUGAUAAGUUUAAGAGCUGAUCCCUUAAUUUUGGACAUGGGAGCACAAGAGAAACUCACUCAAGACUGGGAUUAAUUGUAGGAAAUAUUUCACAGUUUCCACAAGUCAGAAGAGCUAAUCCCAACCCUCUGUAUCUGGAACAUACACUGCUGCCAUUUUCUGCCCAUGAAGGGAAAUACCCAAGGUACUCUGGCAGAACAGAUUUUUGAAAACUUGAGUCCCUGAUGAUGUAAGUCAGCCACAAUGUUAAUCAACCCCAGAGCCACCUUAUUUCUAGACUUAUUAUGCAAGAUAAAAAAAAUCAACUUGCAGUAUGAA